rnacentral:rRNA from 1 species
GACGAACGCUGGCGGCGUGCUUAACACAUGCAAGUCGAGCGGUAAGGCCCUUUCGGGGGUACACGAGCGGCGAACGGGUGAGUGACACGUGGGUGACCUGCCCUUAGCUCUGGGAUAAGCCUGGGAAACUGGGUCUAAUACCGGAUAUGACUCCAUAACGCAUGUUGUGGGGUGGAAAGCCUUGUGCGGCUAGGGAUGGGCCCGCGGCCUAUCAGCUUGUUGGUGGGGUGAUGGCCUACCAAGGCGACGACGGGUAGCCGGCCUGAGAGGGCGACCGGCCACACUGGGACUGAGACACGGCCCAGACUCCUACGGGAGGCAGCAGUGGGGAAUCUUGCGCAAUGGGCGAAAGCCUGACGCAGCGACGCCGCGUGGGGACGACGGCCUCGGUUGUAACGU